GAACAGCAGAGAGGUGGAUGCAAGUUCUUCAGCAGCUGACAUCCCCAACAUCCAGGAGCUCAGCUUGGGAGCAGAUCUGCGGUGUCUAGGAAGCUUAUUCCAGACUUUUGGGGCAUAAAAACUGAAGCUUGCUUCACCGUGAUUUGUUCUGAGUCGAGGAAUGGUACCAAGAUGGCUGAGAUGGAGGAAGAACAAAAGUAUAAAGCAGCUCUGUGGAUGGCCAGCUAAGCUGUUUGUAAAGGAGGGAGUGUGACGGCCUGUUAUCACUGCUUCAGGCUCCUUUGCUUUUCCCCUCAGAUUGGGGUUAAAGAUCUAGAAGCACCUGAGAGGUGGGAUGGAGAAGAUGAUGUAAAGCCACCUCCUGCUGGGUCUCUCUCUCCAUCUCUGGGAGGCUGCUUGACAGCAUGGAAAAUGUUUCAUUUCAUGCAUCUUUUUACAACAAACUGGUGCAUACAUUAACAAUCCUCCAUGCAGGGGAUCCACCACUGAUGCGCACCAUUACUCAGCUCACAUUUAACUGUUUCUUUGUUAAAUAAACUAAUUGGGCAAACUAAGCUUCAUCUGUGGACUCUCCUCUUUUUGUUGCCAAGUUGGUAUCAAAAGAAAAAAAUAGUUUGCUCAGCAUAUUUCAUUCAAGUUUGGGUAUGGAAACCUGCGUGUUCUGACCCUGAAACUCAGAGGAAACAGAACUCUACACAGCAGCAAAUAUAGCGAACAUUUCCUUAUAAAUAUAUUCAAUAAAGAGGCAGGAAAUUCAAACCAGAUCAUGCUAACAAUCAGAGUAAACCACACAUACAAAGAAAGUGAGCCAAGUUUGUCCAUAAAUUAUUAUAAUUAUUUAAUUUAGUUUAAUAAAGUGGAAUGACACCAGAAACAUGUUCUGAAUACACAAGGAGUGGCUCCAAAACGGCGGAAAGCCAAGAAUGCAGCUUAAAUCCAUCAGCACUUAGAAAACAAUCCUGCCUCCUGUCAGUGCAAAGUAAUAUAGUCUAAUUUAGUUUUAACUGAUGGUCUACAAAAAGGUUUCCCAUUACCAAGGUGUCAGACAAGACGAACCACAUUGUUUGUUACAGCAAAAGGCUCUCAACACCAUCAGAACCUUAUUGGUGCAAACAAAUUAAUGACAUUGGUUACAGAUGCGUUUCUAAACCCCUGAAAGUUCCAGUGAGGAUCUGUGGAGCCAAAAUCUGAGAGGAAAGAAAGUAAUUAGUCUAUAAAGCAACCAUCACCAGGCGCUCCUCACAAGAGUCCAAAAAACGUAGAGAUAAGCUGUCCAGAAGCUAAGGACCACUCACAGAAAGUUUAAAAAAGACCAGGAGAUAGCAAGUAUUCUGCCCAUGAAAACAACAAGUAAUGCCUUUAAAUCAGUGGCGUCUAAAAACAUUCACCGCACACAUCUCCACUGCUGAAGAAAGAGCUCUGUGUUCCCCCCUCAGAAUUGA